AUCCAUGUCAUCACACGUGUGGUAUCUGUUCUGACCAGUUUAAUAUCUGAUACCUCUAUUCAAGAGAAUAUGUUAAAUGGAUUUUUUGAACUGGGAGAUGGAGUAGAAGCUUGCUGUGUUCGCUCCACAGGACAACCAGUUAUUCCCCAUUUGGGGGAUAACCAGAACUAA
rnacentral:snRNA from 1 species